rnacentral:rRNA from 1 species
GACGAACGCUGGCGGCGUGCUUAACACAUGCAAGUCGAACGGAAAGGCCCUGCUUUUGUGGGGUGCUCGAGUGGCGAACGGGUGAGUAACACGUGAGUAACCUGCCCUUGACUUUGGGAUAACUUCAGGAAACUGGGGCUAAUACCGGAUAGGAGCUCCUGCUGCAUGGUGGGGGUUGGAAAGUUUCGGCGGUUGGGGAUGGACUCGCGGCUUAUCAGCUUGUUGGUGGGGUAGUGGCUUACCAAGGCUUUGACGGGUAGCCGGCCUGAGAGGGUGACCGGCCACAUUGGGACUGAGAUACGGCCCAGACUCCUACGGGAGGCAGCAGUGGGGACUAUUGCACAAUGGGCGGAAGCCUGAUGCAGCAACGCCGCGUGCGAGAUGACGGCCUUCGGGUAGUAAACCGCUUUCGCCUGUGACGAAGCGUGAGUGGCGGUAAUGGGUAAAGAAGCACCGGCUAACUACGU